GACGUAGGUGGCAAGCGUUAUCCGGAUUUACUGGGUGUAAAGCGUGUGCAGGCGGUCGUGUAAGUAGCGCGUGAAAGCGCCCGGCUCAACCGGGCGAGGACGUGCUGUACUGCACGACUGGAGAUGGGUAGAGGCGAGUGGAAUUCCGGGUGUAGUGGUGAAAUGCGUAGAUAUCCGGAGGAACACCAGAGGCGAAGGCGACUCGCUGGGCCCGUUCUGACGCUCAGACACGACAGCAUGGGGAGCGAACGGG
rnacentral:rRNA from 1 species